GUGCCCCUCACGCACUGCACCAUUCGUCACUAUCACACCAAAUCCACCGCGGUUCCUCCGCAGUCGCCUGCAACCCUAUCCCCUUACCGCCAAACCCCGCAGCCACCGCAAGCCCGCAACCGCCCUCCUCCUCCAUCCUCUCGCGCUCCCCUCCCACAUCUCAUCCACCCCUCUUCAUCUCGGACCGGAUCAGAGACGUGUGGGCGCGGAGGCGAGCUUCUCCGGCGGCGGCGACCUGCAGGCAAAGGGCGACGGCAGCCGCGCUGGAUUUGAUGCAGCGCCAUGGAUCGCCCCCUGCUGAGAGAUGAGGAUGCUGGACUGCCAUCAUUCCUCCUUCACUGUGCGGUGCCUCCUGCGAGUGUCACCUCGUCCCACCGGCUUCCAGCGCCGUGGAUCCGCCGGGAUGGAGGGCAACAAGUGAGAGGGAGCAGGAGAAGAGGUGAAUCGAGGGAGUGAAAGGAGCUCACACGGGAAGGGGCGCCUCCUCCCAUGACGGCACGAUCAGCGGCUCUUGCUCGACCCCAUGAUACACAACACAGUGCCGGAGCUGGGUCAAGGAGCUGGCUCUGCCUUCGCCAUUGCCUGAGAGAAGCAACACUGGUGUUGGGCGUUUUGUUGUAUCCUUUCCAUCUCAUGAUGUGAUUCUUUCUUUAAGAUGAAUUAGUAACUUUGGGUGGAGGUGGCAGCACAACCUGCUGGUUGUUGUAAUGCCUACCUCAAAGAGAUUUAACUGCUUAGAAAAUUAUUUUUCUACUUGGCUGUUUUGCACAUGAUGAGGUAUGACAUGGAAUGGUUGGAUUUUUAGUGGUAGGUGAUCCUUAUGCCGGCGGUGAUAGCGACCAUCACUGGUAUACAACAAUCCAGUGAUUGUCUCAUGUGUGCUCCUAUCCUCCCCACCUCCCCCAGAUGCUUAAUGUUCAGAAAACUAAUGAUUUGGUUCUUGGAUGUUCAUACAUAAUCUAGGUUGUUCUUGAGCUCCAAGGCUGGCCUUAGGUUAGCAAUUCGGCAUCGGCACACUUCGAAUCUAUACCCCAGCCUAAAUCGAGCUAAACCGGCACAAACUGCAGACGGCAUUCCUCGAAGUUCUACCUACAUCUACAACUGCACAAAAGCUUGGAUCUUUGUAGUGUGUCUCCUCAUCAGUAGAGAUUACAUAGCGUUCAAGACCUAGCGGGGCUGGGCCAACCGGUCCUUCAUGUUCAAGAUAUGGCCCUGAUGAGCCCUAACAACCCGUGCUACCGGCCGGGCACCUUCUUCCUGAGCCGGGUCCGGAACAAGACCAACAGGGACACACUGAGCGAGUACUUGUGGCAUGCUGUCAAGUCGGAGGGGUGCAACCAGGCAGCUGCCGUGUGUGUCCAGGUUCAUAUAGUCAAGGUGUUCGCUCAUCGCCCAGUACGAGUGGAAACGGGCGACAUGGUGACAUUGCUGCAAAACAACGAGGAAGGAACAUAUGGUUGACACUGAUGCAUGUAAUGGGUUAUACAAUAUAACUUAAUUUUGAAUGUGUCAUGUCCUAUACGUAUAUGUUAUAAUUGAGCCUUUUGUCAGCCUCUAUGUUAUCUGAGUUUCCAAAUUUUUUGCUUGCUGCGAUCCUUAAAUUUUCUGGUUGUUAGCAAUACUAAACUUUGUCAUCUUCA